rnacentral:tRNA from 1 species
GGUGGUUGUAGCUCAGUUGGUUAGAGCGCUGGUUUGUGGAUCCAGAGGUCGUCGGUUCGAACCCGAUCUUCCACCCCC